rnacentral:rRNA from 1 species
UACGAAGGGGGCUAGCGUUGCUCGGAAUUACUGGGCGUAAAGGGCGCGUAGGCGGGUCGUUAAGUUAGAGGUGAAAGCCCAGGGCUCAACCCUGGAAUUGCCUUUAAUACUGUCGACCUUGAGUAUGGCAGAGGUGUGUGGAACUCCGAGUGUAGAGGUGAAAUUCGUAGAUAUUCGGAAGAACACCAGUGGCGAAGGCGACACACUGGGCCAUUACUGACGCUGAGGCGCGAAAGCGUGGGGAGCAAACAGG